rnacentral:rRNA from 1 species
AUUGAACGCUGGCGGAAUGCUUUACACAUGCAAGUCGAGCGGCAGCGCGGGGGCAACCCUGGCGGCGAGCGGCGAACGGGUGAGUAAUACAUCGGGAACGUGUCCUUGAGUGGGGGAUAGCUCGGCGAAAGCCGGAUUAAUACCGCAUAAGCUCUGAGGAGGAAAGCGGGGGUACCUGGUAACGGGCCUCGCGCUGUUGGAGCGGCCGAUGUCGGAUUAGCUA